rnacentral:rRNA from 1 species
AACCCGACUGGAGGUGAACUAUGCCUGCACAGAUUGAAGUCAGAGGAAACUCUGAUGGAGG